rnacentral:misc_RNA from 1 species
AAAAUGCGAUACGUAAUGCGAAUUGCAGAAUUCAGUGAAUCAUCAAAUCUUUGAACGCAAAUUGCGCUCUCGGGAUAGGCCUGGGAGCACGCCUCUUUGAGUAUCGUUUCAACCACAACUCGAAAGCGUGCUUUAUUGCAACGCUGACGGAGAUUGAGUGUUCUUGAGAACUCAAGACGCUUUAAAUGAAGCGAGCGACAUGAUUUCGGACUUGAAAUGAACUUUUUGUCUCAAGUGACGAGGAUAACUUCACAUUCAGUUGUGAACCCUUCCAUCGUGACUUACGAGACCAAGAACCUUUCGCGGUCAGUUGUCAGAUUGUCGCAGAACUCUGCGCUUCGCCUGUUGCGACGAGCGCAGAACUUUCACUUGAACUAGAUCUCAAAUGAAGCGAGAAAAC